GACGAACGCUGGCGGCGUGCCUAAUACAUGGCAAGUCGAACGCUUUUUCUUUCACCGGAGCUUGCUCCACCGAAAGAAAAAGAGUGGCGAACGGGUGAGUAACACGUGGGUAACCUGCCCAUCAGAAGGGGAUAACCUUUGGAAACAGGUGUUAAUACCGUAUAACACUAUUUUCCCGCAUGGAAGAAAGUUGAAAGGCGCUUUUGCGUCACUGAUGGAUGGACCCGCGGUGCAUUAGCUAGUUGGUGAGUAACGGCUCACCAAGGCAACGAUGCAUAGCCGACCUGAGAGGGUGAUCGGCCACACUGGGACUGAGACACGGCCCAGACUCCUACGGGAGGGCAGCAGUAGGGAAUCUUCGGCAAUGGACGAAAGUCUGACCGAGCAACGCCGCGUGAAGUGAAAGAAAGGGUUUUUCGGGAUCGUA
rnacentral:rRNA from 1 species